AGGAAAUGUAGACUUGGAUUAUAUU
rnacentral:piRNA from 1 species